rnacentral:rRNA from 1 species
CGUAGGCGUAGCGAAAGCGAGUCUGAAUAGGGCGGAUAGCUAGUGGGGGUAGACGCGAAACCUGGUGAUCUACCCAUGGGCAGGUUGAAGUAUCGAUAGUCUCGAUAUGGAGGACCGAACCGGUAAACGUUGAAAAGUUUUCGGAUGACCUGUGGGUAGGGGUGAAAGGCCAAUCAAACUCCGUGAUAGCUGGUUCUCCCCGAAAUGCAUUUAGGUGCAGCGUUGCGUGGUUCUUGUUGGAGGUAGAGCACUGGAUGGUCUAGGGGGCUUAUCGGCUUACCGAAAUCAGCCAAACUCCGAAUGCCGGUAAGUGAGAGCGCAGCAGUGAGACCGUGGGGGAUAAGCUUCAUGGUCGAGAGGGAAACAGCCCAGAACACCGACUAA